rnacentral:rRNA from 1 species
GACGAACGCUGGCGGCGUGCCUAAUACAUGCAAGUAGAACGCUGAAGAGAGGAGCUUGCUCUUCUUGGAUGAGUUGCGAACGGGUGAGUAACGCGUAGGUAACCUGCCUUGUAGCGGGGGAUAACUAUUGGAAACGAUAGCUAAUACCGCAUAACAAUGGAUGACACAUGUCAUUUAUUUGAAAGGGGCAAUUGCUCCACUACAAGAUGGACCUGCGUUGUAUUAGCUAGUAGGUGAGGUAACGGCUCACCUAGGCGACGAUACAUAGCCGACCUGAGAGGGUGAUCGGCCACACUGGGACUGAGACACGGCCCAGACUCCUACGGGAGGCAGCAGUAGGGAAUCUUCGGCAAUGGGGGCAACCCUGACCGAGCAACGCCGCGUGAGUGAAGAAGGUUUUCGGAUCGUAAAGCUCUGUUGUAAGUCAAGAACGGGUGUGAGAGUGGAAAGUUCACACUGGGACGGUAGCGUACCAGAAAGGGACGGCUAACUACGU